GGAUUAUGCUGCAUCACGGACCAUUGUAGGUAGAAUCUUUUAAAAUAUAUUAGAGCUGUUGCCUGGAUUUUAUGAGGAAAAUGAAAGUUGUUGCAUACUUCUUGAAGUUUGUUUUCGUAAAAUACUCGCAUAAAUUGCUCUUCUUCAAUACUCAACGAUUUGGAGCGAGAAUGUUUGUCAGUAUUAUCUUUUGAAUUUAUCUGAGGGUCCGGAUAUGACAAUGAUCCGUCAGCAUCUACUUCCAUUAGUGUUGCUCCAAACUUCUCCAGAGCUUCGAUCGCUCUCUGGUUAGCAGCUUUGUACCUGUAAACCAGCUCCUGAGGAGACAAGAUCCAUUUGGC
rnacentral:misc_RNA from 1 species